rnacentral:ncRNA from 1 species
AUCAGGUGUCGCAAGACUCAAUAGAGAAGCCGGUUUUAGUCCGGCGCGGUCCCGCCACUGUAUCAGCGAGUGCUGCUGCAACAAACGUCACUGGAGAUGGAAAAGCGUCUCUGGGAAGGCGCAGCAGCACGAUGACCUGGAGCCAGGAGAACUGCCUGAUCGA